rnacentral:rRNA from 1 species
AUACGGAGGACGCGAGCGUUAUCCGGAUUCAUUGGGUUUAAAGGGUGCGCAGGCGGCCGUGCAAGUCAGCGGUGAAAGCCCGGGGCUCAACCCCGGAAGUGCCGUUGAUACUGCAUGGCUGGAAUGCGGUCGAGGCGGGCGGAACGGGGCGUGUAGCGGGGAAAUGCGUAGAUAUGCCACAGAACGCCGAUAGCGGAGGCAGCUCGCCAGGCCUGCAUUGACGCUCGGGCACGAAAGCGUGGGGAUCGAACAGGAUUAGAUACCCUGGUAGUCCACGUCGUAAACGAUGGGCGCUCGUCGUCGGCGGCAGACAGUCGGCGGCCAAGCGAAAGCGAUAAGCGCCCCACCUGGGGAGUACGGUCGCAAGGCUGAAACUCAAAUGAAUUGACGGGG